rnacentral:rRNA from 1 species
GACGAACGCUGGCGGCGUGCUUAACACAUGCAAGUCGUACGGUAAGGCCCUUUCGGGGGUACACGAGUGGCGAACGGGUGCGUAACACGUGAGUAACCUGCCCACAACUUUGGGAUAACGCUAGGAAACUGGUGCUAAUACUGGAUAUGUGCUCCUGCUGCAUGGUGGGGGUUGGAAAGCUCCGGCGGUUGUGGAUGGACUCGCGGCCUAUCAGCUUGUUGGUGGGGUAGUGGCCUACCAAGGCGGCGACGGGUAGCCGGCCUGAGAGGGUGACCGGCCACAUUGGGACUGAGAUACGGCCCAGACUCCUACGGGAGGCAGCGGUGGGGAAUAUUGCACAAUGGGCGCAAGCCUGAUGCAGCAACGCCGCGUGCGGGAUGACGGCCUUCGGGUUGUAAACCGCUUUCAGCAGGGACGAAGCUUUUUGUGACGGUACCUGCAGAAGAAGCACCGGCUAACUACGUG